rnacentral:rRNA from 1 species
UACAGGGGGGGGCAAGCGUUGUUCGGAAUUACUGGGCGUAAAGGGUCUGUAGGUGGCCAACUAAGUCAGACGUGAAAUCCCUCAGCUUAACUGGGGAACUGCGUCUGAUACUGGAUGGCUCGAGUGUGGGAGAGGAAUGCGGAAUUCCAGGUGUAGCGGUGAAAUGCGUAGAUAUCUGGAGGAACACCGGUGGCGAAGGCGGCAUCCUGGACCGGUAUUGACGCUGAGGCGCGAAAGCCAGGGGAGCAAAGCGGG